GACGAACGCUGGCGGCGUGCUUAACACAUGCAAGUCGAAGGAAGUGGGAACGGGUGAGUAUUACGUGAGUAACCUCCCUCAACUGUGGGAUAAGCCUGGGAAACUGGGUCUAAACUGCAUAGAUGGGCUCGCGGCCUAUCAGCCUGUUGGUGGGGUGAUGGCCUACCAAGGCGGUGACGGGUAGCCGGUCUGAGAGGAUGAACGGCCACAUUGGGACUGAGACACGGCCCAGACUCCUACGGGAGGCAGCAGUGGGGAAUCUUCCGCAAUGGACGAAAGUCUGACGGAGCAACGCCGCGUGAGUGAUGACGGCCUUCGGGUUGUAAAGCUCUGUUAAUCGGGACGCGGUACCGGAAUAGAAAGCCACGGCUAACUACGUGCCAGCAGCCGCGGUAAUAC
rnacentral:rRNA from 1 species